rnacentral:rRNA from 1 species
GUGAUCCGCCCUUCGGGGUGGUGAAAGUGGCGCACGGGUGAGUAACGCGUGGAUAAUCUGCCCGAGGAUUUGGGAUAACAUCUCGAAAGGGGUGCUAAUACCGAAUAAGCCCACGGGGUCUACGGAUCUUGCGGGAAAAGGGGGGGACCUUCGGGCCUCCUGUCCUUGGAUGAGUCUGCGUACCAUUAGCUAGUUGGUGGGGUAAUGGCCUACCAAGGCGACGAUGGUUAGCUGGUCUGAGAGGAUGAUCAGCCACACUGGAACUGAGACACGGUCCAGACUCCUACGGGAGGCAGCAGUGGGGAAUUUUGCGCAAUGGGGGAAACCCUGACGCAGCAACGCCGCGUGGGUGAUGAAGGCCUUCGGGUCGUAAAGCUCUGUCUGGAGGGAAGAAAUGAUUGGGAGCUAAUACCUCUUGAUCUUGACGGUACCUCUGA